rnacentral:tRNA from 1 species
GGUAUUAUAUUUUAUAAAGAAAAUUUAAUUUGCAAUUAAAAAGUAAUAAUAUAUAUAUUAUUUAAUACCA